rnacentral:rRNA from 1 species
GACGAACGCUGGCGGCGUGCUUAACACAUGCAAGUCGAACGGGAUUUAGUAGACAGAAGCCUCGGCUAAAGAUUACUAAUGUGAGUGGCGAACGGGUGAGUAACGCGUGAGCAACCUGCCUAUGACAGUGGGAUAGCCUCGGGAAACCGGGAUUAAUACCGCAUAAAAUCGUAGAAACACAUGUUUUAACGGUCAAAGAUUUAUCGGUCAUAGAUGGGCUCGCGUCUGAUUAGCUAGUUGGUGAGAUAACAGCCCACCAAGGCGACGAUCAGUAGCCGGUCUGAGAGGAUGAACGGCCACAUUGGAACUGAGACACGGUCCAAACUCCUACGGGAGGCAGCAGUGGGGAAUAUUGCACAAUGGGGGAAACCCUGAUGCAGCGACGCCGCGUGAACGAAGAAGGUAUUCGUAUCGUAAAGUUCUGUCCUAUGGGAAGAUAAUGACAGUACCAUAGAAGAAAGCUCCGGCUAAAUACGUG